GACUCUGUGGCGCAACGGUAGCGCGUCUGACUCCAGAUCAGAAAGUUGCGUGUUCAAAUCACGUCAGGGUCA
rnacentral:tRNA from 1 species